UGUGCACUCCAGCUCUACUGAUAACAUGACCUCAAGGCCACCAGUCUCAGGGUCUUGUACGGCAUCAGUUAAUUCCAAUCAAAUGCAGACAAUUGCAAGUUCCUCUGCAAACAAACAUAUGGUUACUGAUGGACUAGCUGUAUCAUUGCAAC